GGCGGACGGGGGAGUAACACGUGGGCAACCUUCUUCAUAGAGGGGAAUAGCCUUCCGAAAGGGAGAUUAAUACCGCAUAAGAUUGUAGUACCGCAUGGUACAGCAUUAAAAGGAGUAAUCCGCUAUGAGAUGGGCCCGCGGCGCAUUAGCUAGAUGGUAAGGUAACGGCUUACCAUGGCCAUGAUGCAUAGCCGACCUGAGAGGGUGAUCGGCCACAUUGGGACUGAGACACGGCCCAAACUCCUACGGGAGGCAGCAGUAGGGAAUCUUCCGCAAUGGACGCAAGUCUGACGGAGCAACGCCGCGUGUGUGAAGAAGGUCUUCGGAUCGUAAAGUACUGUUGUUAGAGAAGAACACCCGGUAGAGUAACUGUUACCGGCAUGACGGUAUCUAACCAGAAAGCCACGGCUAACUACGUGCCAGCAGCCGCGGUAAUACGUAGGUGGCAAGCGUUGUCCGGAUUUAUUGGGCGUAAAGGGAGCGCAGGUGGUGACUUAAGUCUGAUGUGAAAGCCCACGGCUCAACCGUGGAGGGUCAUUGGAAACUGGGUCACUUGAGUACAGAAGAGGAAAGUGGAAUUCCAUGUGUAGCGGUGAAAUGCGUAGAUAUAUGGAGGAACACCAGUGGCGAAGGCGACUUUCUGGUCUGUGACUGACACUGAGGCUCGAAAGCGUGGGGAGCAAACAGGAUUAGAUACCCUGGUAGUCCACGCCGUAAACGAUGAGUGCUAAGUGUUGGAGGGUUUCCACCCUUCAGUGCUGGAGUAACGCAAUAAGCACUCCGCCUGGGGA
rnacentral:rRNA from 1 species